CUAUGAACAGACUUCUUUUUGCCUUUGACAAAGGAGACCUGGAACAGGCCAGGGAUUUACAGUUUAAGAUGCAGGCGAUAAUUCUGUUUGCAAUAAAGGAAGGGUUCAAUCUAGCUAUGAACAAGCAGAUAAUGUGUGAGCUCUCUGGAAUACCUCUGGGGCCCCCACGUCUCCCUCUCCUACCCUGUGAUGUGUCAAAAGCCUGUGCUGUUGCCCAGAAACUACGCUCCGUCCUGGGAGAACAAUAACUGCUUGAUGACCGCAUUCCCAGGGAUUCCAGAAUGCCAGUAAACUCCGCUUGAUCUGUUUUGUUGAUUGAAAAUAGAGUAUGUGUUUGUACUUUGCUUUUGUUUUGUAC